rnacentral:rRNA from 1 species
GACGAACCGUGCGAACGUUGUUCGGAAUCACUGGGCUUAAAGGGCGCGUAGGCGGGUUGUCAAGUCCGGGGUGAAAGCCCCCAGCUCAACUGGGGAAGUGCCUUGGAUACUGGGGAACCUCGAGGGAGGUAGGGGCGUGCGGAACUUCCGGUGGAGCGGUGAAAUGCGUAGAUAUCGGAAGGAACACCGGUGGCGAAAGCGGCGCGCUGGACCUCUUCUGACGCUGAGGCGCGAAAGCCCAGGGGAGCAAACGGG